GGGAGAUCAGUGCACCUGCAUAUUUACUCUCCUGUUCCAUCCCUCUCUAUUUCACUCUCUAAUUAUUUCCUGUCAUUUAACUAAUUAGGUAAUUAUGCUAUUCAGUUAACAUUAAGUGGACAGCUAUUCUAUACUAGAAUAACAUUACAGCAAGUUCCUCAGGAGUUCAUGGUUUCUUGGGAAGAAAUAACUGUUGUCAUCUGAUAACAUUUUAGAAAUGAUUUUCUGUGCUCUGUGUAGAGCACUACAGGACCAUUUGCACAUAUAAUGGAUCUUUCUUUUCUGAGAAACAGUAUCAUCCUGAUGUUGCCAGUGCUAAAGUGCAAAAGGCAGAUGACCAGACCCGGGUAGUAAUGACUGUGUGCAUCAGCAAGGAUGUAAAAUCCUCAGCCUCAUGAAAAAUUCCCAGAGUUCAAGCUUGGCAAGAAAAUAGUAGAGAGUCACUUAAGUGUGAGGAUUAUGAUUUAUAUAUGCAACAUAGAAAAACACCAAUAGUGCUCUCUCAUGAGUGUGUGUAUGAGAGAAAUGACAUAAAAACUAUAGAAUGAAGAGCAUACUACCUGCAAGUUUUA
rnacentral:lncRNA from 1 species